rnacentral:tRNA from 24 species
GCCGAUUUAGCUCAGUUGGUAGAGCAAGGCACUCGUAAAGCCUAGGUUAUAGGUAGAUAAACGACU